rnacentral:rRNA from 1 species
UACAGAGGGUGCAAGCGUUGAUCGGAAUUACUGGGCGUAAAGCGUGCGUAGUCGGUUAUUUAAGUCGGGUGUGAAAGCCCCGGGCUCAACCUGGGAAUUGCAUUCGGUACUGGAUAGCUAGAGUUCGGCAGAGGGAAGCGGAAUUUCCGGUGUAGCGGUGAAAUGCGUAGAUAUCGGAAGGAACAUCAGUGGCGAAAGCGGCUUCCUGGACCAGAACUGACGAUCAGGCACGAAAGCGUGGGGAGCAAACAGG